UACAGAGGGUGCGAGCGUUGUCCGGAAUCACUGGGCGUAAAGGGCGUGUAGGCGGGUAGAUAAGUCGGGCGUGAAAUCCCUAGGCUCAACCUAGGAACUGCACUCGAAACUGUUUAUCUUGAGUGCCGGAGAGGAAAGCGGAAUUCCUGGUGUAGAGGUGAAAUUCGUAGAUAUCAGGAGGAACACCAGUGGCGAAGGCAGCUCGCUGGGACGGUACUGACGCUGAGACGCGAAAGCGUGGGGAGCAAACAGG
rnacentral:rRNA from 1 species